rnacentral:rRNA from 1 species
ACGUAGGUGGCGAGCGUUGUCCGGAAUUAUUGGGCGUAAAGGGAGCGCAGGUGGGAAAGUAAGUCAGUCUUAAAAGUGCGGGGCUCAACCCCGUGAGGGGAUUGAAACUACUUUUCUUGAGUGCAGGAGAGGAAAGCGGAAUUCCUAGUGUAGCGGUGAAAUGCGUAGAUAUUAGGAGGAACACCAGUGGCGAAGGCGGCUUUCUGGACUGUAACUGACACUGAGGCUCGAAAGCCAGGGGAGCGAACGG